rnacentral:rRNA from 1 species
UUAAGUGACUAAGCGUACACGGUGGAUGCCUUGGCAGUCAGAGGCGAUGAAAGACGUAGUAACUUGCGAUAAGCCCAGAUUAGGUAGUAACAACCAUUUGAGUCUGGGAUUUCUGAAUGGGGAAACCCACGUGCAUAAGCACGUAUCCUUACCUGAAUACAUARGGUAAGGAGGCGAACCGGGGGAACUGAAACAUCUAAGUACCCCGAGGAAAAGAAAUCAACCGAGAUUCCGAAAGUAGCGGCGAGCGAAAUUGGACUAGCCCUUAAGCUUUACACGCGUUAGACGAACGGUCUGGAAAGUCCGACGAUACAGGGUGAUAGUCCCGUAGUUGACGACGUGUGUUCAGUGAAAUCGAGUAGGGCGGGACACGUGAUAUCCUGUCUGAAUAUGGGGGGACCAUCCUCCAAGGCUAAAUACUACUGACUGACCGAUAGUGAACCAGUACCGUGAGGGAAAGGCGAAAAGAACCCCUGUGAGGGGAGUGAAAUAGAACCUGAAACCGUGUACGUACAAGCAGUAGGAGCAGGCUUUGUCCUGUGACUGCGUACCUUUUGUAUAAUGGGUCAGCGACUUAUAUUCAGUGGCAAGGUUAACCAUCUAGGGGAGCCGUAGGGAAACCGAGUCUUAACUGGGCGUUCAGUCUCUGGAUAUAGACCCGAAACCAGGUGAUCUAGCCAUGGGCAGGUUGAAGGUUGAGUAACAUCAACUGGAGGACCGAACCGACUAAUGUUGAAAAAUUAGCGGAUGACUUGUGGCUAGGGGUGAAAGGCCAAUCAAACCUGGAGAUAGCUGGUUCUCCCCGAAAGCUAUUUAGGUAGCGCCUCGGACGAAUACUACUGGGGGUAGAGCACUGUUAAGGCUAGGGGGUCAUCCCGACUUACCAACCCUUUGCAAACUCCGAAUACCAGUAAGUACUAUCCGGGAGACACACGGCGGGUGCUAACGUCCGUCGUGGAGAGGGAAACAACCCAGACCGCCAGCUAAGGUCCCAAAUUACUACUAAGUGGGAAACGAUGUGGGAAGGCUCAGACAGCCAGGAUGUUGGCUUAGAAGCAGCCAUCAUUUAAAGAAAGCGUAAUAGCUCACUGGUCGAGUCGGCCUGCGCGGAAGAUGUAACGGGGCUAAGUAGUAAACCGAAGCUGCGGCAAUAUACUUUUGUAUAUUGGGUAGGGGAGCGUUCUGUAAGCGGUUGAAGGUGUGUGGUAACGCAUGCUGGACGUAUCAGAAGUGCGAAUGCUGACAUGAGUAACGAUAAAGGGGGUGAAAAACCUCCUCGCCGGAAGACCAAGGGUUCCUGUCCAACGUUAAUCGGGGCAGGGUAAGUCGACCCCUAAGGCGAGGCCGAAAGGCGUAGUCGAUGGGAAACGGGUUAAUAUUCCCGUACUUCUUACAAUUGCGAUGGGGGGACGGAGAAGGCUAGGUGGGCCUGGCGACGGUUGUCCAGGUUCAAGUGCGUAGGCUUAAGAGUUAGGUAAAUCCGGCUCUUUYUAAGGCUGAGACACGACGUCGAGCACCUACGGGUGUGAAGUCAUUGAUGCCAUGCUUCCAGGAAAAGCCUCUAAGCUUCAGAUUGUAAGGAAUCGUACCCCAAACCGACACAGGUGGUCGGGUAGAGAAUACCAAGGCGCUUGAGAGAACUCGGGUGAAGGAACUAGGCAAAAUGGUACCGUAACUUCGGGAGAAGGUACGCUCUUGAUGGUGAAGUCCCUUGCGGAUGGAGCURAYGAGAGUCGCAGAUACCAGGUGGCUGCAACUGUUUAUUAAAAACACAGCACUGUGCAAAAUCGUAAGAUGACGUAUACGGUGUGACGCCUGCCCGGUGCCGGAAGGUUAAUUGAUGGGGUUAGACUUCGGUCGAAGCUCUUGAUCGAAGCCCCGGUAAACGGCGGCCGUAACUAUAACGGUCCUAAGGUAGCGAAAUUCCUUGUCGGGUAAGUUCCGACCUGCACGAAUGGCGUAAUGAUGGCCACGCUGUCUCCACCCGAGACUCAGUGAAAUUGAAAUCGCUGUGAAGAUGCAGUGUACCCGCGGCUAGACGGAAAGACCCCGUGAACCUUUACUACAGCUUGGCACUGAACAUUGACCCUACAUGUGUAGGAUAGGUGGGAGGCUUUGAAGCACGUACGCCAGUAUGUGUGGAGCCGUCCUUGAAAUACCACCCUUGUAGUGUUGAUGUUCUAACGUCGACCCCUUAUCGGGGUUGCGGACAGUGCCUGGUGGGUAGUUUGACUGGGGCGGUCUCCUCCCAAAGAGUAACGGAGGAGCACGAAGGUGGGCUAAUCACGGUUGGACAUCGUGAGGUUAGUGCAAUGGCAUAAGCCCGCUUGACUGCGAGAAUGACAAUUCGAGCAGGUGCGAAAGCAGGUCAUAGUGAUCCGGUGGUUCUGAAUGGAAGGGCCAUCGCUCAACGGAUAAAAGGUACUCCGGGGAUAACAGGCUGAUACCGCCCAAGAGUUCAUAUCGACGGCGGUGUUUGGCACCUCGAUGUCGGCUCAUCACAUCCUGGGGCUGAAGUCGGUCCCAAGGGUAUGGCUGUUCGCCAUUUAAAGUGGUACGCGAGCUGGGUUUAGAACGUCGUGAGACAGUUCGGUCCCUAUCUGCCGUGGGCGUUGGAAGAUUGAAGGGGGCUGCUCCUAGUACGAGAGGACCGGAGUGGACGAACCUCUGGUGUUCGGGUUGUGUCGCCAGACGCAUUGCCCGGUAGCUAAGUUCGGAAUCGAUAACCGCUGAAAGCAUCUAAGCGGGAAGCGAGCCCUGAGAUGAGUCUUCCCUGAUACUUUAAGUAUCCCUAAAGGGUUGUCGGAGACUACGACGUUGAUAGGUCAGGUGUGUAAGUGCUGUGAGGCAUUGAGCUAACUGAUACUAAUUGCCCGUGAGGCUUAACCAU